UCUCCUGUGGACUGAAAUAAUUCUGGUUUUCACUGAGACUGCUUACUUACUUGUCAGGCUUCCAGGAGGGAAGUGGCAGAAGCAAAUGCUCUGACUGCUAAACUUCAGCUGGGUGCUAUUCAUCAGGAUCAUGUCAUGGCUUUGGAGGAUCCAAACUGCCUGGAGUCCUGGGCUGCAGCCAGGUUGCAAGCACCAUCCAUCCAGGGGAAGGAGCAGCUGUUUUGGGAAGAGGGAACAUGAAUAACACGAUUCUUUUGGGUCAGAAAUCACCUGAUACACUCCCAGCCCUUUUGGCGGGCACUGCUGCCACAGCUGAGGACUGGAGCUGCAGCUUUCUGGUUUUUGAGGAGUCCUCCUAUCCAAAGAAGAAGGCUGAGUCUCUGCCUUGUUUAACAUGAGCUGACAAAAUUAGCUUGUGUCAUUGAAGAAGCUUCAAGUUCUCCAUAAAUAAAUCAUAAGAAAAAAAAAAAAUAUCAACAACAA